UUUUCAGUUUUUUUUUUCCUUCUCCUCUCAGUUCUCGCCUCUCCACUCUCUGUUACAGUGUUAAUCAAUCUUCUUCCCUGUUACAAUCACUCAAUCUGUCAAUCAGAUUUCAGAUAUUCAAACUCCAAUUGUGUUUGUUGAAAUGAAGUUUAAUUCUGUUAAUAAGUACAUGGUUUCUCAGAAUAUUAUGAGGAGUUCCCGCCGAUAUUUGGUAAACAAGAACCUGAUCGUCAGCAGUUUCCUUAGGAAAGGGUAGGAACAAUUGGUUUUACAGUUACAAAUCCAAAGAUCUACUGUCAAUGAACGAUCUCUGUGGAUCAUGCUAGGUGUGUCGAGAUUGUAAGUGAACGAACUUUGAAUUCUCAAUUCAACAAAGGAACCUCUUAGGCUCCUUUUUAUGUCUGUAACAUGCUCCAUUGCAAGAAGAUUUAACAAUCCAUCGGGAUGUUUCGGGGAACACAAAUGCAUUUCUCAUGCAUACAUGGAGAUAAAGCUUGUAUUAUAGAUUCUGUUGUAUAACUGUUUUUCCUUUAGCGAGACUUGACUAUUUUUAAGCUUGUGAUUUCAGAUCAAGAAAAAAAUACUAGUGAAGGGAUUCAUCUUGGCCUGGAGAAAGAGUCCCAAGUAAGCAAAGUUGGUGGUGAAGUUGCGACUCCUGCUGCCGAAAAGCUACAACAAAACUCCUACUCAGAUAUGGAAAUUGAAGAAUGAAGACAAGAGAGUCAGAGACAAGAGAAGAGAGUGACAGAUUAGUAGAUUACAGAUAAGAGUGACAGAUAUUAGAUACUUAUCAUACUUAGUGUUUCUAAGUUUCUUACUUUCUUAAGCAUUUGCUUUUUUGUUUUUCUCCAUGUGUGUGAGAGAGUAAGAGACAUAACUACUUAAGAGUAUGUUUUUAAGAUUGUUUAUGUGUUUGAAGACAAUUUGGAUGGUAUGUUUGAGAAAUAUGACUUAAAUUUCACUUCUGAAUA